UGGGGAAUAUUGCACAAUGGGGGAAACCCUGAUGCAGCGACGCCGCGUGGAGGAUGAAGGUCUUCGGGUUGUAAACUCCUUUUAUUGGGAAAGAUGAUGACGGUACCCAAUGAAUAAGCCACGGCUAACUCUGUGCCAGCAGCCGCGGUAAGACAGAGGUGGCGAGCGUUGUUCGGAAUUACUGGGCUUAAAGGGCGAGUAGGCGGUGGGACAAGUCUGAUGUGGAAUCUUAGGGCUUAACCCUAAAACUGCAUUAGAAACUGUUUUACUUGAGUCAGUGAGGGGAGGGCGGAAUUCCCGGUGUAGCGGUGAAAUGCGUAGAUAUCGGGAGGAAGGCCGGUGGCGAAGGCGGCCCUCUGGCACUGUACUGACGCUGAGGCGCGAAAGCGUGGGGAGCAAACAGG
rnacentral:rRNA from 2 species